UGUGUUGUAGCUCAGUUGUAGAGUGCUUGCCUAGCAUGUUUGAGGCACUGGGUUUGAUCCUCAGCACCACAU
rfam:Ictidomys tridecemlineatus contig016589, whole genome shotgun sequence.